CCUACGGGUGGCAGCAGUGGGGAAUAUUGCACAAUGGGGGAAACCCUGAUGCAGCGACGCCGCGUGAGUGAAGAAGUAUUUCGGUACGUAAAGCUCUAUCAGCAGGGAAGAAAAUGACGGUACCUGAAGAAGAAGCCCCGGCUAACUACGUGCCAGCAGCCGCGGUAAUACGUAGGGGGCAAGCGUUAUCCGGAUUUACUGGGUGUAAAGGGGGCGCAGACGGCGAUGCAAGCCAGGAGUGAAAGCCCGGGGCCCAACCCCGGGACUGCUCUUGGAACUGCGUGGCUAGAGUGCAGGAGGGGCAGGCGGAAUUCCUGGUGUAGCGGUGAAAUGCGUAGAUAUCAGGAGGAACACCGGUGGCGAAGGCGGCCUGCUGGACUGCAACUGACGUUGAGGCCCGAAAGCGUGGGGAGCAAACAGGAUUAGAUACCCUUGUAGUC
rnacentral:rRNA from 1 species